CCCAAACCAUCUCAGCUUGGAGGUGUGUUCGGUCAUUGUCCUGUUGAAAAAUGAAUGAUAGACCCAAUAAGCCAAACCAGAUGGGAUGGCGUCUCGCUGCAGAAUGCUGUAGUAGCCAUGAUGGUUAAGUGUGCCUUGAAUUCUAAAUAAAUCACAGACAGAGUCACUAGCAAAGCACCCCCACACUAUCACACCACCUCCUCCAUGCUUCACGGUGGGUACCACACAUGUAGAGAUCAUCAUGCAACUUCUCUGAGAUAAUGACUUAAGGCACAAUUAUGCAUUUAAAGCAAAUCAGCAUGGAAUGAUUAGGCAGCAUUAUUGGAUGCUUCUCUGCAACUCACAAAGACACGGCGGUUGGAACCAAAAAUCUCAAAUUUGUACUCAUCAGACUAAAGGACAGAUUUCCACCGGUCUAAUGGCCAUUGCUCGUGUUUCUUGGCCCAAGCCAGUCUCUUCUUGUUAUUGGUGUCCUUUAGUAGUGGUUUCUUUGCAGCAAUUCAACCAUGAAGGCCUGAUUCACGCAGUCUCCUCUGAACAGUUGAUGUUGAUGUGUCUAACUUGAACUCUGUGAAGCAUUUAUUUGGGCUGCAAUUUCUGAGGCUGGUAACUCUAAUGAACUUAACCUCUGCAGCAGUGGUAACUCUGGGUUUUCCUUUCCUGUGGCGGUCCUCAUGAGACCCAGUUUCAUCAUAGCGCUUGAUGGUUUUUGCAACUGCACUUUUAGACAUUUUUCCAUAUUGACUGACCUUCAUGUCUUAAAGUAAUGAUGUACUGUCGUUUCUCUUGGCUUGUUUGAGCUGUUCUUGCCAUAAUAUGGACUUGGUCUUUUACCAAAUAGGGCUAUCUUCUGUAUACCACCCUUACCUUGUCAAAACACAACUGAUUGUCUCAAUCGCAUUAAGAUGGAAAGAAAUUCCACAAAUGAACUUUUAACAAGGCACACCUGUUAAUUUAAACGCAUUCCAGAACAAGCGAGAGGAAGGAGGGCAGAAGGGUUUGGAGAGAGGAAGGAGAAAGGAUAAAAGUAGAAGAAAGGAGCUGGUGAUGAAUGAAAAGGAAAGAGGCUGUGACUGAUCAGUAUUGAAAAUCUGUGAUGCUGUAAAUGUGGUAUAAGUGAACCGGGGAAACGGAUUGAAAUGUCGGCAAUGAUGACUCAACCUGGACUCUACCACCGCAGCUCAGCACUACCGCAGAAACCAGAAAAGUAAAAUACACUUGAGUUGCAGUCAAAUAUCCUGACCUUUCCCUGGCAGAGCUGUAGUAGACCUGAGUAAUGUCUCUCCCUGAUGGGCUUAAAUGUUCUAAGAUGAAUUCUAACUUAAAGCUUUGGCAUGGUAUGUUCUGUUCAUAAUGAAAACACUGUAAAUGGCAUUCAUUACAAGAAAAAGGUUUAAAUGAAAAGGUUCUGAUAAAAAAAAUGUAACACUAGUUUCAUUAUUUUCUAGAACAUCAUGAAAAUAUAACAGGGGACUUUACUCAAAUCAAAUUUUAUUGGUCACAUACACAAGGUUAGCAGUUGUUAUUGCGAGUGUAGUGAAAUGCUUAUGCUUCUAGAUCUGACAGUGCAGCAGUAUCUAACAGCUAAUAUCUAACAAUUCCACAACAAAUCCUAAUACAUACAAUCUAGUAAAGGAAUGGGAUAAGAAUAUAUAAAAUAUAUGGAUGGGCAGUGACAGAGUGGCUAAGAUGCAAUAGAUAGUGUAGGAUACAGUAUAUACAUAUGAGAUAAGUAAUGCAAGAUAUGUAAACAUUCUUAAAGUGGCCAAUGAUAUCGAGUCUGUAGGUAGGCAGUCGCCUCUCUGUGCUAGUGAUGGCUGUUUAACAAUCUGAUGGCCUUGAGAUUGAAAAACAGCUUCUACCUCUCGGUCACAGCUUUGAUGCACCUGUACUAACCUAUUGGGGCGGUAAGAACAUUUAAGUGGGUCUAGGGUGACAGGUUGGGUGGAGGUGAUAUGAUCCUUGACUAGUCUCUCAAAGCAUUUCAUCAUGACAGAAGUGAGUGCUACAUCAUGCACGCCAAUAACUAAAUCUCAGUCAAAUAGGCCUAUGUUGUAUUGAUUUCAUUUAAAAGAUCUGAAUCACGGCUUUAAACAGCAGCAUGCUUGUUGUUUUUAAUGAUUUAGACAGCAGUGGUAUAUUAAUAAAGCGUCAUUGUCGAGCCCCCUCAAUAUCCUUUUUUGUUAUCAAUUUCGUGAGCUGUGGUUUAUCAUCAGACACAGAUCUCAUUAACGUCUUCUAACAGAUGGUAGAUUCCAACCAAGCCUCAAGGACUCAAUGAUGGGGAGCAGAUAGCACCGAUCCAAAAUCUAUUCAUAAACAUAAUUUGAGGGUGACAACAAUCCUGAAUGGCCCAUACAGGAGGAGAGGUUGGACAUCCAUCUGCCAGCUCUCAGAUAAC
rnacentral:lncRNA from 1 species